GGCUAAACUAUGCACCGAAGCUGCGGCAGCGACACUAUGUGUUGUUGGGUAGGGGAGCGUUCUGUAAGCCUGUGAAGGUGUGUCGUGAGGCAUGCUGGAGGUAUCAGAAGUGCGAAUGCUGACAUAAGUAACGAUAAAGCGGGUGAAAAGCCCGCUCGCCGGAAGACCAAGGGUUCCUGUCCAACGUUAAUCGGGGCAGGGUGAGUCGACCCCUAAGGCGAGGCCGAAAGGCGUAGUCGAUGGGAAACGGGUUAAUAUUCCCGUACUUGGUGUUACUGCGAAGGGGGGACGGAGAAGGCUAUGUUGGCCGGGCGACGGUUGUCCCGGUUUAAGCGUGUAGGUGUGUGUUCCAGGUAAAUCCGGUUCACUUUAACACUGAGGCGUGAUGACGAGGCACUACGGUGCUGAAGCAACAAAUGCCCUGCUUCCAGGAAAAGCCUCUAAGCAUCAGGUAACAUCAAAUCGUACCCCAAACCGACACAGGUGGUCAGGUAGAGAAUACCAAGGCGCUUGAGAGAACUCGGGUGAAGGAACUAGGCAAAAUGGUGCCGUAACUUCGGGAGAAGGCACGCUGACACGUAGGUGAAGUGAUUUACUCAUGGAGCUGAAGUCAGUCGAAGAUACCAGCUGGCUGCAACUGUUUAUUAAAAACACAGCACUGUGCAAACACGAAAGUGGACGUAUACGGUGUGACGCCUGCCCGGUGCCGGAAGGUUAAUUGAUGGGGUCAGCGCAAGCGAAGCUCCUGAUCGAAGCCCCGGUAAACGGCGGCCGUAACUAUAACGGUCCUAAGGUAGCGAAAUUCCUUGUCGGGUAAGUUCCGACCUGCACGAAUGGCGUAAUGAUGGCCAGGCUGUCUCCACCCGAGACUCAGUGAAAUUGAACUCGCUGUGAAGAUGCAGUGUACCCGCGGCAAGACGGAAAGACCCCGUGAACCUUUACUAUAGCUUGACACUGAACAUUGAGCCUUGAUGUGUAG
rnacentral:rRNA from 1 species